GGCCCCAUCGUCUAGAGGCCCAGGACAGGUGGUUCUCAGCCAUCAGACACGGGUUCGAAUCCCGUUGGGGCUA
rnacentral:tRNA from 2 species